rnacentral:rRNA from 1 species
AGCGAACGCUGGCGGCGUGCCUAACACAUGCAAGUCGAACGUGAAAGGGAGCAAUCCCACGUAAAGUGGCGUACGGGUGAGUAACACGUAGGUAAUCUACCCCAGAAUCUGGAAUAACCGGCCGAAAGGCUGGCUAAUACUGGAUAGAGCGACGGAAUCCGUAAUUGGGUUUUUCGGGAAAGGGAGCCUGUAAAACGGCCUUCGUUCUGGGAUGAGCCUGCGUCCCAUCAGCUAGUUGGUGAGGUAAAAGCUUACCAAGGCAAUGACGGGUAGCUGGUCUGAGAGGACGAUCAGCCACACUGGAACUGAAACACGGUCCAGACUCCUACGGGAGGCAGCAGUGGGGAAUCUUGCGCAAUGGACGAAAGUCUGACGCAGCAACGCCGCGUGAGUGAAGAAGGCCUUCGGGUUGUAAAGCUCUGUCGAGUGGGACGAAAAUGCUUGGAGUUCACAGCUCCAGGAACUGACGGUACCACUAAAGGAAGCACCGGCUAACUCCGUG